UACGUAGGGUGCUAGCGUUGUUCCGGAUUUAUUGGGCGUAAAGAGCUUGUAGGUGGCUCGUCGCGUCGGGAGUGAAAACCCGCGGCUUAACCGCGGGCCUGCUUUCGAUACGGGCGGGCUAGAGUUCGGCAGGGGAGACUGGAAUUCCUGGUGUAGCGGUGGAAUGCGCAGAUAUCAGGAGGAACACCGGUGGCGAAGGCGGGUCUCUGGGCCGAUACUGACACUGAGAAGCGAAAGCGUGGGGAGCGAACAGG
rnacentral:rRNA from 1 species